GAACGCUGGCGGCAGGCUUAACACAUGCAAGUCGAACGGUAACAGGACUAGCUUGCUAGUUGCUGACGAGUGGCGGACGGGUGAGUAACGCGUAGGAAUCUACCGAGUAGUGGGGGACAACAGUUGGAAACGACUGCUAAUACCGCAUAAUCCCUGAGGGGGAAAGGAGGGGAUCUGUUUACAGACCUUUCGCUACUUGAUGAGCCUGCGUGAGAUUAGCUAGUUGGUGAGGUAAUGGCUCACCAAGGCGACGAUCUCUAGCUGGUCUGAGAGGAUGAUCAGCCACACUGGAACUGAGACACGGUCCAGACUCCUACGGGAGGCAGCAGUGGGGAAUAUUGCACAAUGGAGGAAACUCUGAUGCAGCGAUGCCGCGUGAGUGAAGAAGGCCUUUGGGUUGUAAAGCUCUUUCGUCGGGGAAGAAAAUGACUGUACCCGAAUAAGAAGGUCCGGCUAACUUCGUGCCAGCAGCCGCGGUAAUACGAAGGGACCUAGCGUAGUUCGGAAUUACUGGGCUUAAAGAGUUCGUAGGUGGUUGAAAAAGUUGGUGGUGAAAUCCCAGAGCUUAACUCUGGAACUGCCAUCAAAACUUUUCAGCUAGAGUAUGAUAGAGGAAAGCAGAAUUUCUAGUGUAGAGGUGAAAUUCGUAGAUAUUAGAAAGAAUACCAAUUGCGAAGGCAGCUUUCUGGAUCAUUACUGACACUGAGGAACGAAAGCAUGGGUAGCGAAGAGGAUUAGAUACCCUCGUAGUCCAUGCCGUAAACGAUGUGUGUUAGACGUUGGAAAUUUAUUUUCAGUGUCGCAGGGAAACCGAUAAACACACCGCCUGGGGAGUACGACCGCAAGGUUAAAACUCAAAUGAAUUGACGGGGACCCGCACAAGUAGUGGAGCAUGUGGUUUAAUUCGAAGAUACGCGCAGAACCUUACCAACACUUGACAUGUUCGUCGCGACUCUAAGAGAUUAGAGUUUUCGGUUCGGCCGGACGAAACACAGGUGCUGCAUGGCUGUCGUCAGCUCGUGUCGUGAGAUGUUGGGUUAAGUCCCGCAACGAGCGCAACCCUCACUUUUAGUUGCCAUCAUUAAGUUGGGCACUCUGAAAGAACUGCCAGUGAUAAGCUGGAGGAAGGUGGGGAUGACGUCAAGUCCUCAUGGCCCUUACGUGUUGGGCUACACACGUGCUACAAUGGCAUCUACAACAGGAAGCAAAACGGCAACGUUAAGCAAAUCCCGAAAAGAUGCCUCAGUUCGGAUUGCACUCUGCAACUCGAGUGCAUGAAGCUGGAAUUACUAGUAAUCGUGGAUCAGCGUGCCACGGUGAAUGCGUUCCCGGGUCUUGUACUCACCGC
rnacentral:rRNA from 1 species